rnacentral:rRNA from 1 species
AACCAGCACCUCAAGUGGUCAGGAGAAUUAUUGGGCCUAAAGCAUCCGUAGCCGGCUCUGUAAGUUUUCGGUUAAAUCUAUAUGCUCAACGUAUAGGCUGCCGAAAAUACUGCAUAGCUAGGGAAUGGGAGAGGUAGACGGUACUCGGUAGGAAGGGGUAAAAUCCUUUGAUCUAUCGAUGACCACCUGUGGCGAAGGCGGUCUACCAGAACAUGUUCGACGGUGAGGGAUGAAAGCUGGGGGAGCAAACCGG